GGGUUGUGAGGUUAAGCGACUAAGCGUACACGGUGGAUGCCCUGGCAGUCAGAGGCGAUGAAGGGCGUGCUAAUCUGCGAUAAGCGCCGGUAAGGUGAUAUGAACCGUUAUAACCGGCGAUACCCGAAUGGGGAAACCCAGUGUGACUCGUCACACUAUCAUUAACUGAAUCCAUAGGUUAAUGAGGCGAACCGGGGGAACUGAAACAUCUAAGUACCCCGAGGAAAAGAAAUCAACCGAGAUUCCCCCAGUAGCGGCGAGCGAACGGGGAGGAGCCCAGAGCCUGAAUCAGCAUGUGUGUUAGUGGAAGCGUCUGGAAAGGCGCGCGAUACAGGGUGACAGCCCCGUACACAAAAGCGCAUGUGCUGUGAGCUCGAUGAGUAGGGCGGGACACGUGGUAUCCUGUCUGAAUAUGGGGGGACCAUCCUCCAAGGCUAAAUACUCCUGACUGACCGAUAGUGAACCAGUACCGUGAGGGAAAGGCGAAAAGAACCCCGGCGAGGGGAGUGAAAAAGAACCUGAAACCGUGUACGUACAAGCAGUGGGAGCCCCACCACUAAGCCAGUGGUGAACUCCACAUACGCAUCCUUUGCUGAGGAUACGGUUAACGGAGCGAAAGCGACGUUCAACCGCAAAAGAAGCAGAGGGGGCUUAGUGGUGGGGUGACUGCGUACCUUUUGUAUAAUGGGUCAGCGACUUAUAUUCUGUAGCAAGGUUAACCGAAUAGGGGAGCCGGAGGGAAACCGAGUCUUAAUUGGGCGUUAAGUUGCAGGGUAUAGACCCGAAACCCGGUGAUCUAGCCAUGGGCAGGUUGAAGGUUGGGUAACACUAACUGGAGGACCGAACCGACUAAUGUUGAAAAAUUAGCGGAUGACCUGUGGCUGGGGGUGAAAGGCCAAUCAAACCGGGAGAUAGCUGGUUCUCCCCGAAAGCUAUUUAGGUAGCGCCUCGUGAAUUCAUCUCCGGGGGUAGAGCACUGUUUCGGCUAGGGGGCCAUCCCGGCUUACCAACCCGAUGCAAACUGCGAAUACCGGAGAAUGUUAUCACGGGAGACACACGGCGGGUGCUAACGUCCGUCGUGAAGAGGGAAACAACCCAGACCGCCAGCUAAGGUCCCAAAGUCAUGGUUAAGUGGGAAACGAUGUGGGAAGGCCCAGACAGCCAGGAUGUUGGCUUAGAAGCAGCCAUCAUUUAAAGAAAGCGUAAUAGCUCACUGGUCGAGUCGGCCUGCGCGGAAGAUGUAACGGGGCUAAACCAUGCACCGAAGCUGCGGCAGCGACACUGUGUGUUGUUGGGUAGGGGAGCGUUCUGUAAGCCUGUGAAGGUGUGUCGUGAGGCAUGCUGGAGGUAUCAGAAGUGCGAAUGCUGACAUAAGUAACGAUAAAGCGGGUGAAAAGCCCGCUCGCCGGAAGACCAAGGGUUCCUGUCCAACGUUAAUCGGGGCAGGGGGAGUCGACCCCUAAGGCGAGGCCGAAAGGCGUAGUCGAUGGGAAACGGGUUAAUAUUCCCGUACUUGGUGUUACUGCGAAGGGGGGACGGAGAAGGCUAUGUUGGCCGGGCGACGGUUGUCCCGGUUUAAGCGUGUAGGUGUGUGUUCCAGGUAAAUCCGGUUCACUUUAACACUGAGGCGUGACGACGAGGCACUACGGUGCUGAAGCAACAAAUGCCCUGCUUCCAGGAAAAGCCUCUAAGCAUCAGGUAACACGAAAUCGUACCCCAAACCGACACAGGUGGUCAGGUAGAGAAUACCAAGGCGCUUGAGAGAACUCGGGUGAAGGAACUAGGCAAAAUGGUGCCGUAACUUCGGGAGAAGGCACGCUGACACGUAGGUGAAGUGAUUUACUCAUGGAGCUGAAGUCAGUCGAAGAUACCAGCUGGCUGCAACUGUUUAUUAAAAACACAGCACUGUGCAAACACGAAAGUGGACGUAUACGGUGUGACGCCUGCCCGGUGCCGGAAGGUUAAUUGAUGGGGUCAGCGCAAGCGAAGCUCCUGAUCGAAGCCCCGGUAAACGGCGGCCGUAACUAUAACGGUCCUAAGGUAGCGAAAUUCCUUGUCGGGUAAGUUCCGACCUGCACGAAUGGCGUAAUGAUGGCCAGGCUGUCUCCACCCGAGACUCAGUGAAAUUGAACUCGCUGUGAAGAUGCAGUGUACCCGCGGCAAGACGGAAAGACCCCGUGAACCUUUACUAUAGCUUGACACUGAACAUUGAGCCUUGAUGUGUAGGAUAGGUGGGAGGCUUUGAAGUGUGGACGCCAGUCUGCAUGGAGCCGACCUUGAAAUACCACCCUUUAAUGUUUGAUGUUCUAACGUGGACCCGUGAUCCGGGUUGCGGACAGUGUCUGGUGGGUAGUUUGACUGGGGCGGUCUCCUCCUAAAGAGUAACGGAGGAGCACGAAGGUUGGCUAAUCCUGGUCGGACAUCAGGAGGUUAGUGCAAUGGCAUAAGCCAGCUUGACUGCGAGCGUGACGGCGCGAGCAGGUGCGAAAGCAGGUCAUAGUGAUCCGGUGGUUCUGAAUGGAAGGGCCAUCGCUCAACGGAUAAAAGGUACUCCGGGGAUAACAGGCUGAUACCGCCCAAGAGUUCAUAUCGACGGCGGUGUUUGGCACCUCGAUGUCGGCUCAUCACAUCCUGGGGCUGAAGUAGGUCCCAAGGGUAUGGCUGUUCGCCAUUUAAAGUGGUACGCGAGCUGGGUUUAGAACGUCGUGAGACAGUUCGGUCCCUAUCUGCCGUGGGCGCUGGAGAACUGAGGGGGGCUGCUCCUAGUACGAGAGGACCGGAGUGGACGCAUCACUGGUGUUCGGGUUGUCAUGCCAAUGGCACUGCCCGGUAGCUAAAUGCGGAAGAGAUAAGUGCUGAAAGCAUCUAAGCACGAAACUUGCCCCGAGAUGAGUUCUCCCUGAGACUUAGAGUCUCCUGAAGGAACGUUGAAGACGACGACGUUGAUAGGCCGGGUGUGUAAGCGCAGCGAUGCGUUGAGCUAACCGGUACUAAUGAACCGUGAGGCUUAACCUUACAACGCCGAAG
rnacentral:rRNA from 2 species